rnacentral:rRNA from 1 species
AACGAACGUUGGCGGCGUGGAUUAGGCAUGCAAGUCGAACGCGAAUCCCUGGGCAACUGGGGAGGAGAGUGGCGAAAGGGGCAGUAAGGCGUGGGUAACCUACCCUCCGGGCCGGGAUAGCUUCGGGAAACUGAAGGUAAUACCGGGCGACGCAGCGAGAUCGCAUGGUCUUGCUGCCAAAGGUCCGCCGCCGGGGGAGGGGCUCACGUGGUAUUAGCUAGACGGCGGGGUAACGGCCCACCGUGGCAAAGAUGCCUAGCAGGUGUGAGAGCACGACCUGCGCCACUGGAACUGAGACGCUGGCCAGACACCUACGGGUGGCUGCAGUCGAGGAUCUUCGGCAAUGGGCGCAAGCCUGACCGAGCGACGCCGCGUGUGCGAUGAAGGCCUUCGGGUUGUAAAGCACUGUCGAGGGGGAGGAAGCCGCAAGGUUGACCUAUCCCUGGAGGAAGCACGGGCUAAGUUCGUG